rnacentral:rRNA from 1 species
AGUGGGGAAUAUUGGACAAUGGGCGAAAGCCUGAUCCAGCCACGCCGCGUGAGUGAUGAAGGCCUUCGGGUCGUAAAGCUCUGUGGGGAGGGACGAACGUCCGGUUGAAGAAACCGGGGUGACGGUACCUCCUUAGCAAGCACCGGCUAACUUCGUGCCAGCAGCCGCGGUAAUACGAAGGGUGCAAACGUUGCUCGGAAUCAUUGGGCGUAAAGCGCACGUAGGCGGCAUUCUAAGUCGGAUGUGAAAUCCCUCGGCUCAACCGAGGACGUGCACCCGAAACUGGAACGCUCGAGUAUGGAAGAGGGUCGCGGAAUUCUCGGUGUAGAGGUGAAAUUCGUAGAUAUCGGGAGGAACACCAGUGGCGAAGGCGGCGACCUGGGCCAAUACUGACGCUGAGGUGCGAAAGCGUGGGGAGCAAA